rnacentral:rRNA from 1 species
UACGAAAGGGGGCAAACGUUGUUCGGAUUUACUGGGCGUAAAGCGCGUGUAGGCGGCUUGGCAAGUUGAAUGUGAAAGCCCACGGCUCAACCGUGGAAGCGCAUCCAAAACUGCUUCGCUCGAGUCUCGGAGAGGAAGGUGGAAUGCUUGGUGUAGAGGUGAAAUUCGUAGAUAUCAAGCAGAACACCUGCGGCGAAGGCGGCCUUCUGGACGAUGACUGACGUGAGACGCGAAAGCGUGGGGAGCAAACAGG